rnacentral:rRNA from 1 species
UUGACGUUAGCGACAGAAGAAGCACCGGCUAACUCCGUGCCAGCAGCCGCGGUAAUACGGAGGGUGCGAGCGUUAAUCGGAAUUACUGGGCGUAAAGCGCAUGCAGGUGGUUUGUUAAGUCAGAUGUGAAAGCCCGGGGCUCAACCUCGGAAUAGCAUUUGAAACUGGCAGACUAGAGUACUGUAGAGGGGGGUAGAAUUUCAGGUGUAGCGGUGAAAUGCGUAGAGAUCUGAAGGAAUACCGGUGGCGAAGGCGGCCCCCUGGACAGAUACUGACACUCAGAUGCGAAAGCGUGGGGAGCAAACAGGAUUAGAUACCCUGGUAGUCCACGCCGUAAACGAUGUCUACUUGGAGGUUGUGGCCUUGAGCCGUGGCUUUCGGAGCUAACGCGUUAAGUAGACCGCCUGGGGAGUACGGUCGCAAGAUUAAAACUCAAAUGAAUUGACGGGGGCCCGCACAAGCGGUGGAGCAUGUGGUUUAAUUCGAUGCAACGCGAAGAACCUUACCUACUCUUGACAUCCAGAGAACUUUCCAGAGAUGGAUUGGUGCCUUCGGGAACUCUGAGACAGGUGCUGCAUGGCUGUCGUCAGCUCGUGUUGUGAAAUGUUGGGUUAAGUCCCGCAACGAGCGCAACCCUUAUCCUUGUUUGCCAGCGAGUAAUGUCGGGAACUCCAGGGAGACUGCCGGUGAUAAACCGGAGGAAGGUGGGGACGACGUCAAGUCAUCAUGGCCCUUACGAGUAGGGCUACACACGUGCUACAAUGGCGCAUACAGAGGGCAGCAAGCUAGCGAUAGUGAGCGAAUCCCAAAAAGUGCGUCGUAGUCCGGAUUGGAGUCUGCAACUCGACUCCAUGAAGUCGGAAUCGCUAGUAAUCGUGGAUCAGAAUGCCACGGUGAAUACGUUCCCGGGCCUUGUACACACCGCCCGUCACACCAUGGGAGUGGGCUGCAAAAGAAGUAGGUAGUUUAACCUUCGGGAGGACGCUACCACUUGGUCCGC